AUUGAACGCUGGCGGCAGGCCUAACACAUGCAAGUCGAGCGGAGCGGCGGACGGGGGAGUAAUGCCUAGGAAUCUGCCUGGGAGUGGGGGAUAACGUCCGGAAAAGGGCGCUAAUACCGCAUACUAUCAGAAGAGCCUAGGUCGGAUUAGCUAGGUGGUGGGGUAAAGGCCGACCAAGGCGACGAUCCGUAACUGGUCUGAGAGGAUGAUCAGUCCAACUGGAACUGAGACACGGUCCAGACUCCUACGGGAGGCAGCAGUGGGGAAUAUUGGACAAUGGGCGAAAGACUGAUCCAGCCAUGCCGCGUGUGUGAAGAAGGUCUUCGGAUUGUAAAGCACUUUAAGUUGGGAGGCGUUACCAACAGAAUAAGCACCGGCUAACUUCGUGCCAGCAGCCGCGGUAAUGC
rnacentral:rRNA from 1 species